UUUAAUUAAACGAUAAAAAAGCGAGAAAAAACAACGGACAGCAGACGUAGACACAUCUCUCAGGCCAGCGAAAUAGAUGACCAGGCCAGCAAGGGAACCGUAUUCCAUGGAACAGACCAGGCCAAUGGAGAGCGCACUGCGUGUGCUUAGUACAAAUUUAUGGGCCUAGUCUGGCAGAUGGAAAAGUUAGGGGGGAGACCAGCCCAGUAGCGGCAUCAUUUGGCCAUUGUGAGCGGUGCUAUUUUUCACACCCUUCCUGCGGCUAGAUUCAAAUUUGGCACCGAUAGUGCAGCUCCCAGUUAAAUUCCCUACGUUUGUAUACAAUUUUGUUUGCUAUUCAUUGCGAUUCGCUGGUGUUAAAUUUAAUUUACGAGCUUUUAUUUUCAAUACGACCGUUUCGACCGCCUCCCUUUUCCUCCCUUCCAUUCCUUUUUCUACCGGACGCCCCCAUUAAAUGUGAUUAACAUUAAAUCAUAUGGACGAGGGGGCACGGUCAUAUCUCUGACAAACACCUGACCACACGCCAGCGGGAAAACUCCACGCGAACAUCGCCAAUCUCUUUGGAACCGCAACCAUCUCGGAAAGCAUUUUCCCAAGCCAUUGCCGGACAAUUACACCGGGCUCCCUAGCCAUUCAUUUUCACGCACGUACGAUUUUUUCGCACACAAUUUUCACCUCUGCGGAAAACCCAAAAUGAAAAACAAUAAAUGCAAGCGGCGAAGGAGGGCUGAGGCAAGGGCAAAGGCAUUUAAGACUACGCACAUUGUUUGCUAAUUUUCGAGGUCGAGCGGCUUAUCAACGAGCCAAAUGCCAUUAGCUUAGUGCCUUCUUUCCCCUUAGAUGGGGAUGACCCUGUCAUUUUCGUGUGGAUGAAAACUUUCCAGCAAUUUGUUUGAUUUGCCGCUUAUUGGAAUUUGCGCUUUGCAUAAGCAAUAAACAUAAAUUAUCAAAAU